rnacentral:snoRNA from 1 species
UGGGCUCGACGGCCGUGUCUGCGGCAGAAUGAAGGGCCCGCCCGCGGCCGAGUCUACA